CGCCCUCAGCCAGCGCGCCGCGGACGUUGGCCUCUGCGACGCAUCCACGGGCGCCUUUUCUUCUGCCCGCAAACCUCCGCCCGGAGCAAACCGUUCCCGGGCUCUUGUGUACCCGCGGACGAGAGGACGGGGAAGGCGUCAGGCUUGCUCCCUCGGGGAGGCUCUCUGACUGUGUGGGCCGGGGCGUUUUGGCGGGAAUGCGGAGGCGACUCCCUGACCUUUGCCUGCAAGGACUCACCUUGCGCAGGACCAGGAAGGGGCAGUGGACGAGGCCCUGCUGGGCGCCCUCACUGCUGACAGAGACAGCGGCCAGAGGCCUGAAUCUCCGACCUCAGCCACUCCUGUGGAGUGAAGCCAGCGCUUUCCGCGGAGUUUACUAAGACUUCAUUCAGAAGACGCCUGUAGUGUUCUGCCUUGGCCUGGCUUCUAUUUUUUAGGAAGAAGCAGUACUAGUUCUUCAAAUGUUGGCUAGAAUUCAGCAGUGAAGCCAUCAAGCCCUGAGCUUUUCUUGGGCUUGCUCUGUGGCCUCAUGUAUGACCUUCUCUCAGGUAUCUCUGCGCUGCUGAGAAGAGGGAGUGUCUGCAGCCACUGCGGGGAAUGUCUUGCAAUCGUUCCGAGGACUGCUUCAGAUCCUCACCCUGCAUCUUGGAAAGUUACCUACCCUUCAGCCUCCAUUUCCCCAGCUGUAGAUGGGACGUAAGAGAUGGCCCCUACUGCACAGGACUGCUGUGGGCUUCAUAUGGAUGCCAUAUGGGAAGAGCAGACACAUACUAAGACACGAGGAAGAGAUGGCCAUCUACACUGAGGGACAUCUGAGGCCACCUGAGGCUGAAGAGAGCCCCAGAGCGACUCUCCGCACAAUUCCUCAGAAGGAAACAGGGCUAAUUCCAGACCCUCGGACUCCAGAGCUGGGACAAAAUACUUUUCCAGUGUUUAAUUCCUCUAGUGCAGGAUACCUUCUUACAGUGGCCCCAGCAGAGCAUCAUACACCACUCAUCAUCAGCGUAAACUUCCCUGCUGCCAGCUGUCUUCCGCCAUGCUGUCCUGACUUGGAGCCAGUAGACUAUGAACUGCAAUGUGAGCCAAAAGAAACUUUCCCUCCUUUAUGGCGUGAGUAUUGGGCAUUGUAUCAGCAAUAAGGAAAGUAACUAACAUGCCGAUUUUGAGAGCCAGAGACAGCGCUUCCCAGCUCCCCUUGCAGGUAGGCAUCCCGCUGACUGUUCUCGCUGGUGGAUGGAACGUGAGGUGCGCCAUUCUGCAGUGCUUCCAAGUGCAGAUUGGUUCUCUCCAAUCUUGCUCUUUCCCCUGGUUGCAGGCUGCAGUGUGGUCAUGGGUAGCCAUGGAUGCUUGACUUUUACUAUCAGGCACUGCACAACAGGAUAGGAGGAAUUGGGGACCUGGGAGACCUUGUGGGGCAGAGAUCCUGGGGCCCCUGAGCUGCCUCCUUUCCUCUGGACUGUCAUGGGAUGGAGAAGCUCCCAUCUUCUUUGAACCACUAUGUUUCAGGAAACUUGGGCUAUAGUAGUUUAACCCACAGAUGCUGUUUGCCUUCUGUUGCUUUUAGAGAUGGUCAUGUAAGCCUGAAGGCAGAAGUUUCCUCUCAGAUUACCUGUUUUACUGAAAUGUAUUGGGGUACAAUACACUACAAUUCUAAGUGUGCACUUGGAUAGGUUUUGACACAUGUAUAUACCUGCAAAACACGCAUAUAGCACUUCUUGAACUUAGAGCACUGGCAAGGGCUGGAGGGUUUGAUUUUGAUUGUAUCGGUAGAGUAGGUAGAGGGCUCUGGAGAGGCUGUGAUGCUCCUCUAUUCCUGGGCUUGGCUGGGGGCUGGAUGGAGACCCCACAGCCUGUGCCCUUGACUUUCUACCUCUAUUACGAGUUCAUCUGUCCAGAGUGUGCAGGGCUUGAGGCUCUACUUGAGACUCCUGGUUCAAAGACAAAGGACUGUGUGACAGUUAAGCUGGAUUGUCAAGUUGACUCACUUCAGAGCCACCUGGGGAUUAGUAGUGCACACUCCUGGGCGUGUCUGGUUGGGUCACAGAGGCUUGACAUCAGGUACUAUAUCCAAACCCUCACUCUUUCAUCUCCAGAACUGUUCAUUUGCUCAGCCACCAUGAAGUAAGCAUCUUUGCUCUACUACAGCCUUCUGCCAUGAUAUUUCUGCCUUGGAGUCAACUGACCAUGGACUGAAUCUCCCAAAACCAUGAACCAAAUUAAACUUCUUUAAGUUGUGGGUGUCAAAUAUUUGGACCCAGUGAUGACAAACUGUGUAAUACAUUGUAUUACUGACAGCAGUAGCAGCAUUUUCCUGUGUGGUUCCCCAAGCUCCCAUUGCCAUAGGGUUACUGAUGAGGGGCGGGGGUGCCUGUAUGCACAGCAGGCUAGUUCCAGGAGAGGAACUCUGAGCUUAGGGAAGUGAAGUCUUCUGUCCUGGGAAAUGUUGGCUUUUUCUUUGUGCUGAAAGGAAAUCUGAUCUCUAUCUUCCAAAGCCUGUAAGUCAAUCUGCCCUUGGUUCUGGGAGACAAUCUUAUCUCCUAAGGCUGUGUGACCAACAUCACUGACACAAUUGUCUGGAAUAAUGAGAUGUCACCCCCCCCCCUUUUGAGAUAAUCAGGAAGAGUGUCUCCCAAAAAUAUAUUACAGAGGGGUCUGAAUUAGAGUUGAAACCUCUAACAUGGAGGAAAAACUAGUGUUGAGGACACAGUGACGAGGUGCCAGAGUGUCCUCUUCCACCAAAGCUGCAGGUUAUUAGGACAAGGUCCUAGAAGGAAAGGGUGCAUACUCAGAACAGCUGAAGGACUGUUUUCAAAAUAGGUCUAAGGAAAUCAGUGAGCUGUGACAAAGCAUCCUGAGACUAGCCAUCCUGAAAGAUCUUAUUCCUUGACCUCGAGGGCCCUCGAGGGCCAGGGAAGGAGGAGUUACCGGACCCAAUGACAGCUGUUGCCAAAGCUCUGAAAGGGUCCUACAUUAGUCACUUUCCUAUCACUAGGACAAAUACACAGCACUUUAAAGGAGGAGAGAUUUAUUUUGGCUCACAGUUUCAGGGGCUUCAAUUCAUGGUUGGUCGGCUCCAGGGAAGAAAUGGUAAGGGAGAAGUGUAUGGAGGAGAAAAGCUACUCACCUCAUGUCAGCCAAGAAGUAGAGAGAGAAGGGAAGAAUCAGGCACCGGAAAACACCCUUAUAGGUCACAUCCUACUUCCUGUAGCACAUUCAGCUAUGAAAUCAUCAAUGGAUGAAUCCACAGAUAAAUACAGCAUUCACAUGAUCCAGUCACCUUCCAAACACAUGAGACUUUGAGGGGGACAUUUUAGAUCCAAACCAUAACAAGGCCACUUGGCAUGAGCCAUGUCCUUCCAUGGAAAAGCACAGCUUUUUCCAGGGGAGGGGGGACUCCCUCUUCCUCUCCCCUGUGUCUUUUGCUGCCACUUCCUUUUAUCUAUUAACCCAGCUGGGAGCCUGAAGUCAUAGGAGAUUGACUGGUGCCCACAAGGGUCUCCUCCUGGCACCUGGUGGGUGACAGACCUAAGGAGCAUGUCUGGAGGGGCCAGCAAAGCCCACAGAGCACCCGGGUCGGAUGACAUAGCAUUUAGAGGCAAAAGUGGUCCCUUAUCCCCAGGGUACACUGGGGCUUUGACCUCUCAAGGAGAAAGCUCAAGGGAAAGUGGAAGGAACAACAAGAAGUCAUUAGCCCCUUUAGAAAUGGCCCUUUAUCCUUACCUUAUCUCCUCUCCCUCUUACCUUAUCUCCUCUCCCUCCCUCCUUCCUUGCUUCCUUCCUUCCUUCCUUUCUGGUGCCGGGGAUUGAAUCCAGGAACCUCACACAGGCCCUUUUCAUUUUUUAUUUUGAAGGUCUAAAUUGCUGAGGCUGAUUUUAAGCUGGUGAUCCUCCUGCCUCAGCCUCCUGAGUAGCUGGGAUUACAGGUGUGCACCAUCAUGGCCAAUUUUCUUUUCCCUUUCUCGGUGGAACUCUGCUUUGUUAAUUCUGACACCUGCCUGGGACUGAGUCCUGUGAACGGCCAUAUUGGUGGGCUUGUCUAGAACUCAGGGCUUGAGGGGGUUCCUUGAGGACAGGGUUCCCAGUACCAGGACACAGAUGGGGCUGGGGAACAUCCUGAGAGGACUCUCUGGAGAGUUGGGAAAGCCCCACACUGGGGCCUCAUACUUGGGAGCUGAGGCUUGGAGAUCUGGAAAUGUGAAUUCUAAGGAAGGCCUGAAGGGUGCUCAGGGCAGACUCCGUCCUGCGCCUUCUCUGGGGACAGGAGGGAGCCCAGGCUCUGGCCACGCUUCCGUGUGGCUUCCCUAACCACAGUAUUAACUUUAUUUUCUACAAAGAAAACAAGGAGAAAAACCGAUUCUUCUGAUUAGCAGGGAAGUGGUCCAACUGGCUACACUUGAAUUACACCCUCUGAAUAUUAAACUCAGACUUCUUUAGUUCUCAUUUAUUUUAUUGGAUUUUAUGGAGAUAUUUUAAAAGAGGAAGGUGGGAGGUGGAGAGGGAAGGCUGCAGCACAAAUGGUGUUUCCAGAAGUCUCCAGCAGACACAAGAGAGUCCUUAGCCAAGUCAAAGCUUCCGGGUUCCUGCUUUCCAGCAAGCUGGGGAGUCUGCUGAACUCAGAUUCCUGGCUGCUGGUUUCCUUUCAGCAGCUUCUUCCCCACGGUGGUGAUGUGCUUCUCUGUGAUCUGAAUUCUCAGCGCCCUGGACAAAGUCCACAGGCACUCACGUUUCCCACCGCUCUAAAAGCACUGUGAUUUUCAAUAAAUAACCCACAGCUGAAGCACAACAUUUUGUUUUGAUUUGUCACAAAGCAUUUCCCAGCAUCUUUGUCCUGAUCCGAGGUGAGCACAUCUCAGCUGCAGAGUAGAGUCCAAGCUGACUGCAGUGCUCAGGACCUGGGCUCCACUUGGUGAGUGGCUUCAGGGCCUGGCAGGUGACCCUAGCUACGAGUCUCCAGAAGAGUCAAUAUGGGGGAAGCUCCUCCCAAAGAAGUAACAGUGCGGGUGGCCAUUGCGAUCUACCUAGCCUGGGCACACCUGGUGGGAUGGCAGGGACACUGUACAGGCAGAGAGGGACAAGGUGUCGGGAAACUCCCGGGCAUCCAGGUGGCAGUGGGCACUCUCCAUAGGGCAAUCAGCCUCAGAGGAGGGGAGCCUUGAACUUCACACCUGCUGUGAAGCAACGCAGACUCCCUGGGCUGGCUGAGCUCCUUGGGACAGCAAGGCCCCAGAGGGACUUCAGUGUCAUUUGUCCUCUACAUGGCUGGGGUUGUCCAGGGACCCUGACCUCACCUGGCAAGAGACUGGCCUCAUAGUCUGGGGUCCCCAAGCACAGGACACAGGCCCUGAUGCAGCCUCUCUGGCUCCACUCCAACUCCCACUGGCCAGGGACCAAGCAGCGGCACAAACUCUGGGACUUGUCCCAGUCACACAGAGGGCUCGUGGCAGCGCUGGACAAGUGUCCAGGUCUUGAAUCUAAUGAAGGGCUCUUGACCCCAAAAGCUUUACUUCUAGUCCUGAGUUUUUGCCUGAGCUGAGAAUGAGACUUUUGCUUGUUUUUUCUAAGAUUGUGAAAUGUAAUCUUAUUUUCCUUCCUUAAGUUUGACUUUUAUCAAAAUUUUACAUGGAUCCAAUUUAAGGGCUCCAAAAAUUUCCAGUCUGCCAUGAAAACCAGCUACCAACCUCUCCUCCCUGUCUCUGUCCCCAGAGUUCACAACUUUCUGAGCCUGACGUGUUUGUAAUGACUUUCAUGUUAUCAAGCAGCAUGCUCACAUUGCUUCCUGGAGUCAUCUGUUUGGGCUCCUCAUGGUGGAAGAAGGAGCUUCAGUUGUCUCUGUCUUUCUUUCUCCCCCUACCUCCCUGAAUCCUCCCAGCUGUGCAGGCAUUUCUGUCUCGCUUUGGCCCAGGUUAAUCUCUGUCUUUGUGUGUCUAUGGUUGUUUGUAUGUGGUUUGAACAUGUCGGGAUAUUGUCUCAUUUCUGUUUCUGAAGUUGCCUCUCCUGGAGGUUUCUGACUUGACCCAGUGUAAGUAAUUGUCUGGGUUGGCUUCCCGUCACCACAGCAAACACCUGAAGUAAUCAAUAGACAAAGGUGCCGGGGAUUUAGCUCAGUGGUUCCGCCGCCUGCCUCGAAAGCACAAGGACCCGAGUUCAAUCCCCGGUACCAAAAAAAAGAAAGACAAAGGUUUACUUUGGCUCAUGAAUUUGGAGGAUCCGGUCCAUUGGCUCCAUUUGCUUUGGGCCCAUGGUGAGGCGGCACAACAAGGCAGGUGUGUGUGGCGGAGCAGAACUGGCCCAGAAGCAAAAGAGAGAGGAACACACCAGGCUCCCAGAGUCCUCUUCAAGGUCACACCCUGGGGGACUGAAAGCCCCCCACUGGGCCCGACCACUUGGAGUUCCCAUCACCUCCCAGCAGUGACAUGGGCUGGAGAUCACGCCUUUAACACACGGGCCACCCCGGAGCCCAACUAGAGUUCUGAUGCAGAGCUAUACUCCAGGCUCUCCCUGCAUCAGCCUGAGCAUCCCCAAAGCCUUUCCCCCGGGAUCCAUCCUGUUUUCUUAUAAGCCACAUCUCUCUCUUAGUUUUUUUUUUUUUUUAAUGUACAUCCUCUUGGAGCUUUCUGAUGAAAAGUGUAUGGGGGCGAUAUCCAAGAUCCUGCAUGUCUGGAGCUAUCUGUGCUCACACUCGCUAGCCUGAUGGAGAUUUCCAGCAUAAAGGCAAUGUUCCUGCAGCACCAUGCCACAGCUUUCUAGGUGUGGGUGGUGGCCCCAAAGGUGCCCUACGCUGUUAAGAGUCUUGAUCCUUUGUGCGUGAUCCACAUGUUCUCUUUGGAAGACUGUAGGCUCUUCUCUUGUCUCCAGGGAUCUGGAAUCUGAGGCUGACAUACCUGGUAGUGGGUUCCUUUUUGUCCCAGAUGCUGGACACUCGGUGGAAACUUUCAGUCUGAAAACUCGUAUCUUCUGCUCUGGAAAAUAUUUUUCUUCAUAGAUUUUCUCUCUUUUUUGAUUCUCCUUAUUCAUGCAUUGAACUUUGGUAAUUUCUUUGGUAAUUUCUAUUACUCAUAUAUUGAACUACAUGGAAAGAGCUCUCAUUUUUAAAAAUCUUUUUUCUCUCCCUUUUCCAUUAUUCUUUGUUAUUUUCCUCUACUUUCUGGAAUAUUUCCUUAAAUUUAUCUUCCACGUCUUUACAUUUCUAAUUAUUAUAUUUUUAAAUUCCAAGACAAAAAUUUUGGCCUGGGUGGGGCAGGGGAGAAAAGCACUUCUUUUAUACGGCAGCCUGUUUUUAUUUCAUGAAUGUAAUGACAUUCCUCUUUCUUUCUUAGCCUAUGUUUCUCACGUUCCUUUUUCCUUUCUUUGUGUCUCUGUUUCAUCUUACAGGCUUCCUCAGACACAGGGUGGUUGGUCGCACUGUCUUCUGCCUGUACGCCUAUCAUGCCUCCUGAGCUCAUCUCUCCGCUCUGGUCUUUCUCAUCUUCUAGUCCAUCUGGCCUAACCCUGUGCAACCAGUCUUCAGCACUCACUCCAACACAUUGUUCUGUUGAUGAAAAGCCUUCCGUGGCUCUGUAUUGCCCCCAUCAUCAGGCCUAAGCUUUGUUGAUUUAACAUUUGCAGAUCCUGACUCUACACAGUCUAUACACAUCUCUUGCCUUGGACCAUGGAUACCUAUGGAUCCACCUGUGGAUCCAAAGCUGGAGAUUAGGAAAUACCUCUCCAUGAUGAUACAGACUUGAUGUCCAGGAAUACCCCCAAGCCUCAGGCGCUGGGAGCCAGGGCUUGUGGAAGGUGACUGGAUCAUGGAGCAUUACAGCUGGCUUGCUGUUAGGAGGUAGAGUCUAGACAAUAGUACGGUAACUGGGAGGUGAACUGGAAGGGCUCCUCUCCCUCCCAGCUCCGCGCUUCUCUCUGCUUUCCUGUCUGCCAUGCCACGAGGAGCUCUUGCCUGCCCAGCCCCUCUGCUAUGCCACCCUGCCUUGGAAUCAGCUAACUCUGGGCUGGAAACAUGAGCCUGAAUAAAGCUCUCCUUCUUUAAGCUGUGCAUGUCCGGUAUUGUGUCCCAGCAAUGGGGAAGUGACUGAUAUGCACCCUUUCUUCACAAAUAUUAUGAAUGUCUUCUCACAGUUCUGUGAUGCCCAUCCACAUCCUUAUGUCCACCUUCCAGGUAGAGAAACACUGGCUCAGACAAGGCAAGUGGAAACAGGGAUUCCUAUCUGGGCUAGGUGCUCUGCUCAUCAUGCUGUCUAUGGACUGCUCCAGAGUCACCGGAUGACAAGCCUUCGACCGGAAGUCACAUGCCAGAUCCACAGAGCAGAACCCCCGUAUCACUCUGGGGAGCCCUGCGCCUUCCCCUCACAUGCAGUAUUCUCCUGUGCACACCGUGCUUCCCUCACGAGUGCAUGCAAAGCUCUAGCUGCUCUGUCCCAGGCUUCAAGGACAAUCAGACUUGGCCUGCUGCCUUCUUUCCAUAUACCCUUUCACACACCAGAAACUUCUCUCCAAGACUGCAGACCUCUGGCUUGGACCAAGAAACCUGGAAUUGUUUAAGAGAAUGUUAAUUUCCUUUGAGCUAGGAUUACAGGCCGUCGAGAACUUCUUAAUAAAUGGCCACACUGCUGUUUUGAAGUGUUUAUGGACUUGCCAACACAGCCUUGAAGGGCAUGCUAAAUACUGUGAGUUGUCUUUUUUGGAAACCAGGAUCUGCUGGAAGCUGACCAGGGCCAGAGCCCCGUGCCCUGUCAUUUCUUCGGUGAGACUUCUGGAUGGCUUUGUUUAUAGUCCUCUCCUGCAUUUGUUCCCUGACAUCACUUUUGUUUUAUGAGUUUUGGGGAAAUGAAUCUUUUAACGACUCAAUCCCACCACUUCCUUGGAGGUAAAAUCAAGCCAAACCUUGUUUUAUUUUAUUUUUCAGUUUCUCUUCCCUUGGAUGGACUAUCGAAGAAAGUAACUGUGCAAAAACCCAGCAAGCCCGUUUCAGCGCAGAUGCUAAUUGGCCUGAGGACGUUGGACAAGACAGCUCCUCUGAGCCUCGAGUUCUUGAUGAGGGUUAAGCAGAUGACCCAGCGCUGGUGCUCUGUAAAUGAAGCAUACUUGCUUCUGGUCUCACAGUUUCCAUGGAAUCCGAAGACUGAAAUACCCUGAGCUUCCUGUGAUGUCCCCUUAAGGCUCUAUGAUGAGGACCUUCAGUGGCCCCUUCUCAGGUUGAGGAGGUGAAGAAUGUUUUCCAAGAGAAACUUUUACCUCUUGCUGUCAAGCACAGAAGUCCUGCUAAGCUGUUUCUUUCUUUCUUUCUUUCUUUCUUUCUUUCUUUUUUCACUGUGAAAAUAAUUUUGUGAGAAAAUAUAAACCAGUUCAAUCACACUGAACUUUCAUAAGAUGAAAUGUUAAUAAAAUGGAUGUUUGACCAAUAAAAUACUUGAUUCCAAAU